AGCGUGGAGACAGGUGGUGCAUGGCUGUCGUCAGCUCGUGUCGUGAGAUGUUGGGUUAAGUCCCGCAACGAGCGCAACCCUCACCCCUUGUUGCCACCAGGUCAGGCUGGGCACUCUUGGGGAACUGCCCCGGCCAACGGGGAGGAAGGUGGGGAUGACGUCAAGUCAUCAUGCCCCUUACGUCCUGGGCUACACACGUGCUACAAUGGCCGGUACAAAGGGAUGCAAGACUGCGAGGUGGAGCUAAACCCAAAAAGCCGGCCUAAGUUCAGAUUGGAGUCUGCAACUCGACUCCAUGAAGGAGGAAUCGCUAGUAAUCGCGCAUCAGCACGGCGCGGUGAAUACGUUCCCGGGCCUUGUACACACCGCCCGUCACACCACGAAAGCCAGCUGUACUCGAAGUCGCUGAG
rnacentral:rRNA from 1 species